rnacentral:rRNA from 1 species
CCUACGUGUGGCAGCAGUGGGGAAUAUUGGGCAAUGGGCGCAAGCCUGACCCAGCAACGCCGCGUGAAGGAAUAAGGCUUUCGGGUUGUAAACUUCUUUUUUCAGGGAAGAGUAGAAGACGGUACCUGACGAAUAAGCCACGGCUAACUACGUGCCAGUAGCCGUGGUCAUUGCUAGGUGGCAAGCUGUUACCGGAUUUACUGGGUUUAAAGGGCGUGUAGCCGGGUUGACAAGUCAGAUGUGAAAUCCUGCGGCUUAACCGAAGAACUGCAUUUGAAACUGUUGAUCUUGAGUACGGGAGAGGCAGACGGAAGGCCUGGUGUAGCGGUGAAAUGCGUAGAUAUUAGGAGGAACACCAGUGGCGAAGGCGGUCUGCUGGACAGCAACUGACGGUGAGGCGCGAAAGCGUGGGGAGCAAACAGGAUUAGAUACCCGAGUAGUC